GAGGCUAUUGCACACAUGAUGGAGCUGUCGUGGAGAUGGAGCUUUUACACCUGCAGAGCCUGCCAAAAUAAUGUAAAAGGGCAAAAGGGAAGGUGGAUCAUGGCAUAAUUCCGGUUGGAAGGGGCCUUCGGAGGUUUCUAGUUUCUAGUUCUGCCUCCUGCUCAAAUCAGGGUCAGCUAUGGUCUGUAAAGACCAGUCAGGGCUUUAUCCAGUUUGGUCUUGAAAAUAUCUAAAAACGAAGACUGCACAACCUCUCCAGAGUCUGGCUCCACGUCCUCACUAAACCCCUCACAGGCACUGGGGGCUGCUGUGAGGUCCCCCCAGAACCUUCUCUUCUCCAGGCUGGAUAAGCCCCAAUCCCGGAGCUGCUCCUUGCAUGGAAUGUCCAACUGGAAAAUGCACCUAUCUUCAAUUAUGGCACCCUUCUAUGCUCCUGACCGCUCUUUUCCAGUGAUUUAACUUAACUGCAGCAGAGAGAGGCUGGAUGAGAGCAGUGAGAGAUGACAUGACAUCUGCCUGAAUUAACAAAAUGAUAAAUAAGUACAGUAAGUCCAGCUGAAUGGAUCAACAAAUAAGUAGAACUACGUUUUCCCAUAGCUGCCUAACAUAAAUCACAAGAAUUCC